rnacentral:rRNA from 1 species
AUUGAACGCUGGCGGCAGGCCUAACACAUGCAAGUCGAGCGGAUGAGAGGAGCUUGCUCCUUGAUUCAGCGGCGGACGGGUGAGUAAUGCCUAGGAAUCUGCCUGGUAGUGGGGGAUAACGUUCCGAAAGGAACGCUAAUACCGCAUACGUCCUACGGGAGAAAGCAGGGGACCUUCGGGCCUUGCGCUAUCAGAUGAGCCUAGGUCGGAUUAGCUAGUUGGUGAGGUAAUGGCUCACCAAGGCGACGAUCCGUAACUGGUCUGAGAGGAUGAUCAGUCACACUGGAACUGAGAGACGGUCCAGACUCCUACGGGAGGCAGCAGUGGGGAAUAUUGGACAAUGGGCGAAAGCCUGAUCCAGCCAUGCCGCGUGUGUGAAGAAGGUCUUCGGAUUGUAAAGCACUUUAAGUUGGGAGGAAGGGCAGUAAGUUAAUACCUUGCUGUUUUGACGUUACCAACAGAAUAAGCACCGGCUAACUUCGUGCCAGCAGCCGCCGUAAUAC